rnacentral:lncRNA from 1 species
CACAGGAAGGCAGGCGGCUUUCAAGGGCAUAGAUGCAGACCAUGUGGAAGCUUGGUGGAGGAGUCGGGGGAGUAAAAACGAGGCUGGCAUUCUGGACUUGCAUAGUCGAGAGAGCUACUGGUGUGAGGAAGCUGAUGGAAACCCAGCGCUGGCUUUGCAGGAAACACAGGGCAAUCUAUCAGCAAUCCCCCUGGGCUGCACCCUCAUGGUGGAGAGGGAUUUACUCACAUCAAAAUGAGGAUGCUACGGACAAAAGAUGAAGGACUGUUUCAGGUUAUUGGGGAACAGGUGUUGUUUGGUUACAAACACAAAGCUGGCUUUUUGGAAGGAUAAAUAAAAUCAACAGACCAUUGCAACGUUAACCAAGAAAAUAAGAGAGAAAAUCCAAAUAAGCUCAAUCAGAAAUGAAACAGGAGAUAUCAUAACUGACACCACAGAAAUACAAAAGAUCAUUCAAGGCUACUAUGAACACCUUUAUGCAAAUAAACUAGAAAACCUAGAAGAGAUAGAUAAAUUCCUGGAAAGAUACAAUCCUCCUAGUUUAAAUUAGGAAGAACAAGAUACCCUGAACAGACCAAUAACAAGCAGUGAGUUUGAAAUGGUAAUUAAAAUUUUACCAACAAAAAAAGUCCAGGACGAAAGAGAUUCACAGCAGAAUUCUCCCAGACAUCCGAAGGAGAAUUGGUACCAAUCCUACUGACACUAUUCCACAAGACAGAGAAAGAGAGACCCUCCCUGAAUGAUUAUAUGAAGCCAGUAUCACCCUAAUACCAAAACCAGGAAGGGACAUAACCAAAAAAGAAAACUACAGACCAAUAUCCCUGAUGAACCUAGAUGCUAAAAUCCUUAACACAAUGCUAGCUAACCGAAUCCAACAACAUAUCAAAAAGAUAAUCCAUCAUGAUCAAGUGGGUUUCAUACCAAGGAUGCAGGGAUGGUUUAAUAGAUGCAAGUCAAUAAAUGUGAUACACACAUAAACAGAAUUAAAAAUAACAAUCACAUGAUCAUCUCUAUAGAUGCAGAAAAAAACAUUCAACAAAAUCCAGCAUCCCUUAUGAUUAAAACCCUCAGCAAAAUCAGUAUACAAGGGACAUACCUCAAUAGAAUAAAAGCUAUUUAUGACAAACCCACAGCAUAAUACUGAAUGAGGAAAAACUCAAAGCAUUUCCCCCGGGGAUUGGAACAAGACAGGAUGUCCACUCUCAUCACUCCUCUUCAACACAGUACUGGAAGUCCUAGCCAGAGCAAUCAGACGAGAUAAAAAAAUAAAGGGCAUCCAAAUUGGUAAAGAGAAAGUCAAACUGUCACUGUUUGCUGAUGAUAUGAUUGUUUACCUAGAAAACCCUAAGGAUUCCCCCAGAAAGCCCCUAGAACUUAGAUAAAAGAAUUCAGCAAAGUUUCCAGAUAUAAAAUUAAUGUACACAAAUCAGUAGCUUUUCUCUACACUAACAGCGACCAAGCUGAGAAUGGAAUCAAGAACUCAACCCCUUUUACAAUAGCUGCAAAAAAAAAAAAAAAAAAACCACUUAGGAAUAUACCUAACCAAGGAGGUGAAAGACCUCUACAAAGAAAACUACAAAACACUGCUGAAAGAAAUCAUAGAUGACACAAACAAAUGGAAACCAAAUAUUUCUUGAUCUAUCAACUUUUUUCCUCAUCUGCCACCAGCAUCCCAAACACCAUUGUCUCUUAAAUGGGCUUCUGCAGUAGCUUUUGAAUCAAUUUCCUUAUAUCUACUUCGGCUCUCCUCCGAUCGUUUUUUUCACAUAAUAGUCAAAAUGACUUUAUUAAACUGCAAAACCCUUCUCAUUUUCCCCUGUUAGGAACCCAUCUGGUGGCUUUUCUUUCCUUGUAGGCUCAGGACUAGGACCCAUGACGUGGCAGCCAGACUCCAUGUGUUCUGGAUUCUCCCUACUCUAGUAGCUUCAUUAGCACUUUUUCCUGGUGCUCACAACUCUGCAGGCUGGUCUGUUUCCUGGAGGUUUCUCCUCAUCCUUCCCACAUUGGAGGCUUCAUGCUUCCAGUUGCUUCUGCCUUGAAUGUUCAUUCUCCAGCUAAUUUUUGCCCACCCUAUAGGUCCUAGCUUAGAUGUUAGUUUCUUAGGGAACCCCUCCCUAAUCCCCCCGUCUGAAUUAGAUUUUACUGCUAACUGCACUCUAUACUCCUUCACAGCACUCCUUGGGAUUUUUAAUAUAGAAUAAUUUGCGUAAUUUGUCAGUUUGUUUAUUGUUUAUCAUACCCAUCAGGGAGCAGGCUCCUCGGGAACAGGAACUAGCUGAUGCUCAAAAAUAUUUAAUACAUAAAUGACUGAUUAUAUAAACAAAUAUUUUCAC